UACGUAGGGUGCGAGCGUUAAUCGGAAUUACUGGGCGUAAAGCGUGCGCAGGCGGCGCGUUAAGACAGGUGUGAAAGCCCCGAGCUUAACUUGGGAAUUGCGCUUGUGACUGGCGUGCUGGAGUGUGGCAGAGGGAGGUGGAAUUCCACGUGUAGCAGUGAAAUGCGUAGAGAUGUGGAGGAACACCGAUGGCGAAGGCAGCCUCCUGGGCCAGCACUGACGCUCAUGCACGAAAGCGUGGGGAUCAAACAGG
rnacentral:rRNA from 1 species